CUGUGUUAACGUCCCCAUAUCCUGGUAAGAGCCUGUCAGGGGUUCAGCCCUAGAUAGCAUUCCUAGUAGAGGCAGGAGCCAGGAGGCUUAUUCUCUCAAUCGCUAGAAUUUUAGUAAAGCCUCAAAGAUAAAUAAGUAAACAAAUACAUAAGUCCUUUCCUUUCCCUAAAUUUUCUGUGUUCUCCCACCAACCAGACUCUGUUAGCUUUAUUUUGCACUCAUUCACUUAUGGUUAAAAGACUCUGUCCUGUUCUGGGGCAUUCCCAGUCCAGUUGGGGGUCGGGGCCACGGCAUAUGCCUAAGCAUAGCAGACAUCCAUGCCGUGAUAGCAAAAGCACAAUGACAAUGGAAGGCAGAAGGAGAUCUGUGAGCACGGAACAGAGACACCUAAUCCAUGCUGGUUUAUCAGGGAAGGCUUCCUGGAGGCAGUGGCAUCUGAGUUAGAAGAGAGGUAGGUGAAGGAAAGGAAAGAAGUCCAGGCAGCAGAGUAAGGCUGGAGACCUGAGAACACUGUGUACUCGAAGCACUUGUUUGGUGAGAUGGCCCUCAAGGCACACAGUGACAGUGGGGACAGUUGAACUUUAACCAUCAGCCAGGAGUCCUGGGGCUCCAGGAACCACCGGGAAAUUUUCAGCAGGGGAGAUAUUCUCAUGUUACCUCUUACUUCCUCCAGGUAUGAGUCACAGCUGUUAUUAAACAAUUACUGGCAUAGUUUGAUAGUUAACGUUUCCCCUGGGCAAAUAGGACUAUAAUCUCCAUGAGAGCAGAGACUAAUUCUCUAGACGCACGGUUCUCUAGACCUAGAACAGUGCCCGGUCAUAGCGGAUGCCUAGAAAAUGGGGAGAGGCAGUGACAAGAUCUGUGAGCCAUUUGAGACAAAUCACCGUGGCAGUAAAUUCAGGAAAGCCAGAAGGUCUGGACACCAAGGCUGUUAUUUUCCAUCUGGAGUCCUGGGAAUUGGGUUGGUAUUGCCGAAGACAAAAGAAAGGGUUUCUACAAUGAUCACCAGGGAGAACAAUGGACCAGAGAGAAACCUUAGACGGUUCCAGAAAGGUAGGCAGUGGGUAUCCCGGCAGUGUGUAAUCUGAAUGCAAAACGUCUCUGCCAACUACUUGGGAACCUCUUGGGGUGGGUGGAGCAUCCCUGAGCACAUCUCUGCCAGGCAUUCAGUCGACCUGGGAGGGCAGGAAGGACCACUUAGCCUAUAGGAUUCGGGAGAAAAAGCCCUUAUCCUUCAGGGGUCUCCGUGACACCGAAUCAGUGAGGAUGUCUAGCCACAAACUUCCAGAAUAAAGUCAGUCCAGUUCAAAUAAAAUUGUUGAGG
rnacentral:lncRNA from 1 species